AGAAGCCCCCGACCAAGGGCCACGGCCACAAGCCGGAGAAGCCGCCCAAGGAGCACAAGCCGACUCCGCCCACCUACACCCCGAGCCCCAAGCCCACGCCGCCGCCGGCUACUCCCAAGCCGACGCCGCCCACCUACACGCCGAGCCCUAAGCCCAAGUCGCCGGUCUACCCUCCCCCGCCGAAAGCCAGUACUCCUCCGACCUACACCCCGAGCCCCAAGCCUCCGGCGACCAAGCCGCCUACCUACCCGACCCCCAAGCCACCAGCUACCAAGCCUCCGACACCUCCUGUGUACACUCCGAGCCCCAAACCACCGGUUACAAAGCCUCCUACACCCAAGCCGACCCCGCCGGUGUACACGCCGAACCCCAAGCCACCGGUUACCAAGCCUCCGACACACACGCCGAGCCCCAAGCCUCCGACAUCCAAGCCGACUCCGCCGGUGUACACACCGAGCCCCAAGCCACCGAAGCCGUCCCCGCCGACGUACACGCCGACCCCGAAGCCACCGGCUACCAAGCCGCCCACCUCAACUCCGACGCACC
rnacentral:lncRNA from 1 species